GAGUUUGAUCUUGGCUCAGAACGAACGCUGGCGGCGUGCUUAACACAUGCAAGUCGAACGGAAAGCGCUCUUCGGAGUGACUCGAGUGGCGAACGGGUGAGUAACACGUGGGUGAUCUGCCCUGCACUUUGGGAUAAGCCUGGGAAACUGGGUCUAAUACCGGAUAGGACUACGGCCUGCAUGGGUUGUGGUGGAAAGCUUUUGCGGUGUGGGAUGGGCCCGCGGCCUAUCAGCUUGUUGGUGGGGUGAGGGCCUACCAAGGCGACGACGGGUAGCCGGCCUGAGAGGGUGACCGGCCACACUGGGACUGAGAUACGGCCCAGACUCCUACGGGAGGCAGCAGUGGGGAAUAUUGCACAAUGGGCGCAAGCCUGAUGCAGCGACGCCGCGUGGGGGAUGACGGCCUCGGUUGUAACC
rnacentral:rRNA from 1 species